AGGGCACCACCAGGAGUGGAGCCUGCGGCUUAAUUUGACUCAACACGGGGAAACUUACCCGGCCUGGACACUGGAAGGAUUGACAGAUUGAGAGCUCUUUCUUGAUUCAGUGGGUGGUGGUGCAUGGCCGUUCUUAGUUGGUGGAGCGAUCUGUCUGGUUAAUUCCGAUAACGAACGAGACUCUAGCCUAUUAAAUAGGCUCUCGGCUUUUAAACGCCGGGAGGACUUCUUAGAGGGACAGGUGGCGGUUCAGCCGCACGAAAGAGAGCAAUAACAGGUCUGUGAUGCCCUUUGUUGUCCGGGGCCGCACGCGCGCUACACUGAAGAGAUCAGCGUGCUUUACGCUCCUGCUCCGACCGGAGUGGGGAACCCAGUGAACCUUCUUCGUGGUUGGGAUAGAAGAUUGUAAUUAUUCUUCUUGAACGAGGAAUUCCCAGUAAAUGCGAGUCAUAAGCUCGCGUUGAUUACGUCCCUGCCCUUUGUACACACCGCCCGUCGCUACUACCGAUUGAACGAUUU
rnacentral:rRNA from 1 species